GACAGCGAAAGAAGUGUUCAGCGAGAUGCCUCACAACAAUGAAGUAUUCUGCAGUUAAUCUGUUUCCCUGCACAAUGUGGCUGUGUAUAAGCUUUGCCUGGAAAAUAACACAGGCCAAUGAGAUCUUUCUCAUGGAGACACAGAAGGCCAAGGAAAUUAGAAGGUAUGAAUGGAUUAGUACCCAUUUUAUAGGUGGAGAAACGGGAAAAUAAGAGCUGCUAAACUUCAGUGUGAAUUUUACUGUGCUUUGCUCUGCUAGUCAAUUCAUAAUAUUUUAUAUAUAGUUAUUCCUAAAAGGAGAGCAUUCAAUUCUGCUGCUUACUCAGAAGUUUGGAACAGUAACAAUCACACUUUCUGCCAACCUGAGAGGAACAGUGUAAGUUAUACACAUCAGCCACCUUAGGUACAUUUAUGACGUUACUGGGGCAUAAAAGGCAUUAGCAAUGAAUCAGCAGAAAAAUAUCUCAAAACUGCCCAGGAGCAUUUACAAAAACGUUCAGAAUUCCUUUCUGUAAAAGCUCCUUUCCCACUUUCCCCCUUCCCCUAGUGACACAACAAAAUCAAAGCAUGCAGAAAUUAGAGAGAUUACACCAUGCAUUUCAUCUCCAGCAUCCCAGUUAAGGUAUUUGAUCUUAAAGACAAGGGAAAUGAGGUCAUACGUCAUUUUAUCGGAGUCUUUUUCAGACUUUCAUUAUUAGGAGGAUUGGAUUUUUGUUAAAGGAACUGAAAACCACCACAGUCACACAACAUCACACAGCUAUUUACCCCCAAACAAAGACAGAACCAAGGCCUUGCCCAUCACUUGCUUUGUUGAUCGCGUUGCCUGUCGCACUGUGAUCGAGAUAGCCUAGAGAGCAGCCAUGAUUCCAGCAGCUCUGACUGGUCAAGCUUUCGACGUCUUCAGGAGCCAUUCAUCCCAAAAUCAUUUAAAUUGGAAUCCUAAUGGCUAUACACUUUUGAAAUGCAGCUUGGUCCCAGUUUUUUUGUUUGUUUUGUUUUCUUGUACCAUUACUUUGACACGUAGAGCCAUUGGUAGCAGCUCAGGAGUUACACAACCAGUGUGUAUUAUUAUUAUUAGCAAGUUACUGAAGCUUAGUGCUGCUAACGCUCUAGUAGAUUACAAACAUUCUGGACUGUUUUUAUGCAGACAAGCAGGUAUUUGUGAAUGGCACAAUUAUUAGACAUUCCCACUUCUGCACAUAGCCCGGACAAUUCAAAAGCAGCCGAAUUAUGCAACAUACUAAAUUUUGCCACUGUUUGCUAGAACUUCUUGCACCUGCCAAGUAUACAUUAUAUUGUACCUCACACCUUUGUACCUCACAUAUUGACCUAGAAAGAUCUAAGUGUCAACUUGCUAUGGGUAUGGGAAGGGUUGGUUAACUGCCUUUAAGCAAUCUAAAUUUCCAGAGUACAGACACUACACCACUGAAACAGGGAAAGAAUCACAGCUCACAUUCCACUUCAGCCAUAUCUCUUUUACUCUGUCCCUAAAGAAACACAGCCUUACAGCUCAGUUUGUUAUAAGAAAUAUCUACCCUGCACUAAAGAUCUACCUAUCAAGUGUUAGCCAGACGGAGCAAAAAGCAAUGAUGCCGUCUCUUCAAAAUCAGGGUAAGUCAAAGCCAUCAAAUUAGGCUAUUUCUAUCCAAAUCUUCAAACAAAAAUCUUGCAUUAAAGGAGGGUGAGCGGCAGGGGAUGAUAAACAAAUAGACGAGACCGAAGAUUAUCCAAAUGCUGCCGGCACUGCUACUGCGACACAGGUUGUGUAACACACAACCAGUGAUUCACCAACGAGUGCUCGAUUAAUUACUCAUCACCGGUGCUGAUCACUAAUGCCCGACAUCCCACAUUCAAGAAAAAGAAAAGCCCUUCAGAGACACUCUUCUAAACUGACAGGAUCCCUGCCUGAGAUACACAAAGCCCUCGUGAGCAGCAAUAAAGAAUUACUGGACACUUGCAUGGUCUGCGUGUUGCACAGACCACCGGCACUCAGCACCUCAGAUAAACUACCCAGCGCUACCAGUUAGCUAAACCAAUGCUAAAAGCAGGAUGUUUUCUGUACUGAUACAGACAAGAUGUGAAAAUAAUUAACAGACACCUUGGGGUAUCCCUAACAAUUAAGCUGAAAUAAAAAAAGGCAAGUUCCAGAACAGCAGCCACUGCAAAAGCUACUUAAAGUGUUUCUACGGGAAGUAACGUGUAAUUCAGAGCUGCAAUCUGCAACCCUAUGGUUUUAAAUGAUAAAUGCCAGCUUUAAUUACACAAUCAGACCUGCAAUAGCUACUUCAAAUGCUACUGAUUGUAAAAGGGCUAUGAAAAGCUUUAUUGAUGCUCUUUCAGGUUUUAUUUCCUUUCCGUGUGUUAUCUACAAUUAACAGAAAACAAGCAAAAUAAAUCUGAAUCAUGAACAGGUUUGCAAAGAUUGUGUAAUGAAAAUAAGAGAAAAACAGGAGCGAAACAAAAUUCAAUGGAAACAUGCACUGGGCAUGCAGAGACAACGCAACAGAAGACAAAACAUUAAUAGCAAACGGCACUGUUACAACAAAGCGGUUAUCACGUACAUGAAAACAGUUGUCUUAAUUGAGACUGAGGGGUUAGUUGCAAGUGCUUUAGUGGCUAGAGGCUACUUCUGAGGUAUUCUCAACUCAGGGCUGUAUAACAUGCAACAAAACAGCUGGUGACAACGACUGGAGACAUCCCUUCCAUUUUCAUAGCGCUUAAAGCAACUUUAUAUUCAGUUCAUCAACUUAAGUCUCUGCACCAUAGCUUAAAUAAUAGAGACAUAUUUGCCUUUUCAGAUGUGUAUAAGAGACAGCUUGUAUACUGUUCUGGCCCCGGUAUCCUUUUAAUGUUCUAAGCCAGAACCAUGGGCUAUAAUGAAUCAGUAAAAUCUUACGCACCCAGCGCUUACAAUGAUGACCUUAACUGACGACUUAUUUCAUUUUUCCUAAUGAUACAAGUAUAAUUCCCAUGUGCCGAUGUAUCUCUAUAAAUCACUUUUUACAUGCUAAUUUUUAUCCAGAAUCUAUCUGAAGGAUUUUCAGACUGUGGUGUCUGAAGCUACAGCUAAACUGCUCUGACAGCUGUUGCAGUCCUAAAGGCACAGAGAGCCGACGCUGGUGUAGGAAGUCACCAGAUCAUAAUAAUUGGGCUGCACUCAUCAGCUAGAAGUUUAGACUUUGACCAACAGCGUGUCUUGAGCCUUGAGUCAGAAAUAAUACAGCUGUGUACAUUGGAUGUAUUGCAAUACGAGAUCCAAUGAGAAAAGCUCUUGUGUAAGACCGAAGUGUGGAUGGCAAAGAUUAACACAGAAAUGCAUUACGUUUCAUGGUAAUAAACUUAAAAAUGAAAGGAA